UACGUAGGGUGCAAGCGUUAAUCGGAGUUGCUAGGCGUAAGCGUGCGCAGGCGGUUUGUAAGUCUGUCGUGAAAUCCCGGGCUCAACCUGGGAAUUGCGAUGGAGACUGCAAGGCUGAGAAUCUGGCAGAGGGUAGAAUUCCACGUGUAGCAGUGAAAUGCGUAGACGAUGUGGAGGAACGACCGAUGGCGAAGGCAGCCCCUGGGUCAAGAUUGACGCUCAUGCACGAAA
rnacentral:rRNA from 1 species